rnacentral:lncRNA from 1 species
UUGACGGUCUACACCUUUAAGACGUCGAAACUGUGCGUACUGGGAGUGGGCAUAUGUUCAACUGUAAAAUCACAACAACACAUCGCAAUUGGGGGGUAUGUGAAGAGGACUCUCUUCAGUGACCGCUAGUUAUAGAAAAGCCAAGAACAACGACAUUUAUCUCAUCAACACUAAAAUAUCUGCCGGUAUCCUGCAUGCUGUACUGUUGUGGAAGCAAGGACAAGGAGAAGCAGCGCUCGGACGCUGCUGAGGUGUCGAGAAUUCUAGAGACAGAGAAAAACCGAAAGAACCGUGAAAGCUCACCACAACCACUGGAAAUGUACGGAAUAGCGGGAAUACCCGAGUUUCUACCCCCCUCUGGUGUACUCCAGCCCAGCUCAGUAAUCCCACUCGAGUCUGGUGAGGUGCCUGGUUUGGGGAGUCGAUUCAACAGGGGUGUGCUGAGCUUUGACUCCCCCCAGCGGAGACGAGGCCAACGGGCCCCGAAGCUAGGGCAAAUAGGACGUUCGAAGAGAGUGGUGAUAGAGGAUGAGGACUUGGAUGACGUCAUGAACAACAAUGGCCUCCCCAUAUCAAUCAAUAUCUCUCCUGUUGCCUAA